UUGCCGACCCCUCAUAAAGAUCCAUUCGGUGAUGGCAUGUUUGACUCUUCUUCACCGGCCAGUGUCCUCAAGUUAGACGAGGGCACAUCACAAGCUACACGGAGAAAUGUAGCCUCAAAAUUAAAGAAGAGAAAAGGCAAGGUCACGUCGCAAUCAAAGAAGAGAAAAGGCAUCCAUCUUAACCUGUGUAAAAGAUUGGUCUUCUCUUAGCUCUCCAAUGUUCGCUACCAGCUGCAGCUGCAGUUUUAGGCUUGUCACUUCUGCCUAUUUGUUGACUAAUUGGCUUCAACUUAAAGUCCAACCAAAUACCUGAUUUUUGUUUGAUCUUUGUCUGCUAUCAGUUUGGUUUAUUUAUUGACUUUAUUCUACUAGUAGAAAUAUUAAAUUGCAUUAUGCAUAAGGCUCUGUUUUUGUUUAUUUCUCUGUUCUUAUCAAGCU
rnacentral:lncRNA from 1 species